rnacentral:rRNA from 1 species
UACGUAGGGAGCAAGCGUUGUCCGGAAUCAUUGGGCGUAAAGCGCGCGUAGGUGGCCUCGUAAGUCCGCUGUGAAAGUCAAAGGCUCAACCUUUGAAAGCCGGUGGAUACUGUGAGGCUAGAGUACGGAAGAGGCGAGUGGAAUUCCUGGUGUAGCGGUGGAAUGCGCAGAUAUCAGGAGGAACACCAAUAGCGAAGGCAGCUCGCUGGGACGUUACUGACACUGAGGAGCGAAAGCGUGGAUAGCGAACAGG